rnacentral:ncRNA from 1 species
CAAAAGCUUGGUCCUGGCUUUACUGUCGUCUUUAGCCACGCUUACACAUGCAAGUAUCCGCACCCCUGUGAGAAUGCCCUCAACUCUCCCUCCCGGAGACGAGGAGCCGGUAUCAGGCUCGUCCCGCCACAGCCCAAGACGCCUUGCUCAGCCACACCCCCAAGGGAUUUCAGCAGUGACAAACAUUAAGCAAUAAGUGAAAACUUGACUUAGUUAAAGCUAACAGGGCCGGUCAACCCCGUGCCAGCCACCGCGGUUAUACGAGAGGCCCAAGUUGACAGACACCGGCGUAAAGGGUGGUUAUGGAUUAUUCUCAACUAAAGUCAAACUCACCUUACACAGUUAUACGCAUUAGGAUUAAGAGGCUCUACUACGAAAGUGACUUUAACACUGUUCCUGAACCCACGACAGCUAAGAAACAAACUGGGAUUAGAUACCCCACUAUGCUUAGCCAUAAACCUUGAUAGCAAUUUACACCAGCUAUCCGCCUGGGCACUACGAGCGCCAGCUUAAAACCCAAAGGACUUGGCGGUGCCUCAGACCCACCUAGAGGAGCCUGUUCUAGAACCGAUACCCCCCGUUCAACCUCACCACCCCUGGCUUAAACCCGCCUAUAUACCGCCGUCGUCAGCUUACCCUUUGAAGGAAGCAUAGUAAGCAAAACGGGCACAGCCCCAAACGUCAGGUCGAGGUGUAGCGCAUGCGGUGGAAAGAGAUGGGCUACAUUCUCUAACCCAGAGUAAUACGAAAAGGCGCACUGAAAACGCGCCCAAAGGUGGAUUUAGCAGUAAGAAGAAAACAUGAGAGUUCCUCUGAAUCCGGCUCUGAAGCGCGCACACACCGCCCGUCACUCUCCCUUCUAUUUAUUUAUUUUAUGUCUACAUGUUUUAGACGCCCUAAUUCCAAGGGGAGGCAAGUCGUAACAUGGUAAGUGUACCGGAAGGUGCACUUGGACAAAUC